GUGGGCUUUCUCCUCCGGAAACUUCUCUGCUGGCCCAUAAUGCAGCCGUCACCCUGUAGCAGCAGAGUCGAGCGAGGAGCCGGGGUGAGGUACUGGCUCCUACCGGGCUGGUCCUGCAGCCCUGGAGCUGGCUCUGACCUCAGACGGCGCUGGAGACGGAGGCUCGGAAGGGGCAGCUGUGGCCUCCCAACCCCCGAGCAUUCAUUGUGCACCUACUGUGUAUACGCCCUGGCCGGGCCCAAGGGCCACAGGGCUGCUGGAGAGGUGACCUCUGUCGGUCUGGCCGUCAGCGAGGACCCACCUGCCCGUGCCUGUCCACCCGGAGCCCUCCCACCACCGUGAGCCUCUGCGAGGGACCCGCCGCUGUGCCGUCAUCUUCCCUUGGCAGCCCCGCCCGCAGGCCCAGACUCCCCCAGCCAGGCCUGCUCAGCCCCGCGCAGGGCUGUGGGGCCAGCGGCCAGGGCUGGGGGUGCUGGGGGGUCCGUGGAGACUCCCGAGGAGAGGGGCCCACCUGCAGGUCAGUGAGGUCCCAGGAGCUGUAGUCCUCCUCGGAGCACUGCCGGGAGAAGGAGGGCCGGAAGUCCACCUUGACCAGCUCCCAGUCGGAGCGGAAGCUGAUGUGGCCGAAGACCCUGGGGACAGGACACCCCUCAGUCUGGCCCCUGCUGGGCACGCACUUCCCUCCCAACUCCGUCCACUGCACCAGGGCCCAACGAGGCCGCCCGACCUGCUGGGCCAAGUGCCCAAUCGCUGUCUGGUGCGUCGGGCGCCCUGGUGAGGGCCGUCCCACCCACACGGCCGCCCUCGCCGCCCCAGCCCUGGCCUCCUGGCCGCCCCCCGCCGUCCACAGCCCUGGCUUCGGGCCUCGCGCUACGCCUUGCAGAGACCCCUGGGCAGGCGGCCACGCCUGCGCCAACCAGCUGCCCCCAGUCCUCUCCCGCCUCCCUCGGCCUGAGCAAGAGAGAAACCGGCUCUCCACAGUCAGGUCCCAGGCCACUCCUAGCAAGGAGCCGAGAGCCUCCCCACGUCGGCGCAGGGCAGGCCAGGAGGGGGCCUUCUGCCCCGCCCACGCCCCGGAGCCCAGGAAGGAACAAGGGAACGGAACCCACAGCUACCAGAGCUACGCCCUCUCAGCCAGGUGAAGAGACCACCUGUUUACAGAAAGGAAUAGGAGGGCACAGAGAAGGACUGCGGGAUCUGCAGUGGUCUGAGCCGAGUGCCCAGCGCACAGUAGGAGCUUCCUGCACACACACCACCUCCACGCUCCGGAGCCCUGUGCUGGCGAGGGCUCAGGGGCAGUCACGCCUCUGCAUGCUGGCCUGGCCUCCUCUGCCCUUGCAGUCCCAGGUCCCCUGGCUCUCAGCCUGGCCACUCCGGGGUCACAGACUGCACAUUCCCACAGCCUAGCGCUCAAGUGCUGCCCCAGCUCCUGGGGGUCUUUACAGCUGGCCUUCCACGCUGUCCCCGGUCCCUUCCACAGCUGGCCUUCCACACUGUCCCCAGUCCCUUCCACAGCUGGCCUUCCACGCUGUCCCCGGUCCCUUCCACAGGGGCCUUCCACGCAGUCCCCGGUCCCUUCCACAGGGGCCUUCCACGCUGUCCCCGGUCCCUUCCACAGGGGCCUUCCACGCUGUCCCUGGUCCCUUCCACAGGGGCCUUCCACGCUGUCCCCGGUCCCUUCCACAGCUGGCCUUCCACGCUGUCCCCGGUCCCUUCCACAGGGGCCUUCCACACUGUCCCCGGUCCCUUCCACAGGGGCCUUCC